rnacentral:tRNA from 1 species
CCUGGUGGCUCAGUCUGUAAAGCGUCUGCCUGCAAUGCAGGUGACCCAGGUUCAAUCCCUGGGUCAGGA